AGCGAACGCUGGCGGCAGGCCUAACACAUGCAAGUCGAGCGAAGCCUUCGGGCUUAGCGGCGGACGGGUGAGUAACGCGUGGGAACGUGCCCUUUGGUACGGAAUAGCCCCGGGAAACUGGGAGUAAUACCGUAUGUGGUCGAGAGACGAAAGAUUUAUCGCCAAAGGAUCGGCCCGCGUUGGGUUAGGUAGUUGGUGGGGUAAUGGCCUACCAAGCCGACGAUCCAUAGCUGGUUUGCGAGGAUGAUCAGCCACACUGGGACUGAGACACGGCCCAGACUCCUACGGGAGGCAGCAGUGGGGAAUCUUAGACAAUGGGGGAAACCCUGAUCUAGCCAUGCCGCGUGAUCGAUGAAGGCCUUAGGGUUGUAAAGAUCUUUCAGGGGGGAAGGUAAUGACUGUACCCACAGAAGAAGCCCCGGCUAACUCCGUGCCAGCCGCCGCCGUAACAC
rnacentral:rRNA from 1 species